CGGUAAUACCAGCUCUCCGAGUGGUAGGGAUGAUUAUUGGGCUUAAAGCGUCCGUAGCCGGCUUAGCAAGUUUCCUGUUAAAUUCAGCGACCUAAUCGUUGAGCCGCGGGAGAUACUACUAGGCUAGGAGGCGGGAGAGGUCGACGGUACUUCUGGGGUAGGGGUGAAAUCCUAUAAUCCCAGGAGGACCACCAGUGGCGAAGGCUGUCGGCUAGAACGCG
rnacentral:rRNA from 1 species